ensembl:lncRNA
CUCAAUUUAAAUGUAUCUGCUCUGUAUCUGUUCAAGUGGAGAUAAUCCAUGCAAAUCAGGAGCAGUGGUUUUCAAUGCCUGGUUCACAGAGAGGACUCAGCUUGAGGAGGUCACUCGUUCACAGCCGCUCCUCCCAUUAUAUUUUUCCCCUUAUUGCAGAACUGCUGUAUGUAUACAGUGACUGAAAGGACUCAAUUUACUGCAACUGCUGCCUGGCUUUACUUACAACUUUUUUUUAUAAAGGAACUUACCUCCAUCUGUCUUUUCAAGCCUAAUGAAGCCAGUGUUGUCCCCCACCUUGUAAAUGAAACAUCAAGGCUCACAAAUGUUAGCCAGCCUUUCUUCUGACAGACAGCUACUCUGGAGGUUGGAAAGUCAAAGAUGAAGGGGCUGGCAGUUUUAAUUCUUGGUAAGGGCCCUCUUCUUGGCUGCUACAUGUCCACCUUCUCAUGUAUCUUCAAGUGUGGAGAGAGUACUCGCCAGUAUCUUUCUUUCCUUGUUAGAAACUAAUCCCACUAUGGAGGCUCCAUUCUCAUGACCUCACUCACAGCUAAUUAGCUCUUAAAGGCCUCACUUCCUAAUACCUGCACACUGGAAGUUAGGGCUUCACCAUAUGAAUUUUGAGGGUUUGAAUGAACAAAAAUCCAGUCCAUAACAACAUAGGUAGGAAAUAAUUAUGUGACAGCGUAGGGGAGUAAAGCACAAGAAAAUAUAAAUUGUUAAUAAUCUAGUUGUGGGGUAGAUGUUUGGUGGUAGAUUGACAUGGAUAGGGUCAUUACAAAGAAAAAUUUAAAAAUAACUGAGGGUCAUAGGUGAAUCAACAAUGAGGAUAAGUCAAGAGUUACAAUUUUUGAUUUAUGAUUGAUCCAGUUUUGGGUGCUAAAGAUAUGGAAGUUUAUAGGAGGAAGGAGAAAAAGAAAGAAACUUUGUCACAUUGAGAAACCCAAAUAUUCAAAUGAGGCACCAUCUGAUUCUCAAAAGGAUGCUGUCCCAUUCUCACAUUUAAGCUCUGGAAGCAUUUACCAAGUAAUUUCCACAUUAAUUUCUGGACUAUAUUACAUGUUUUGUCUUAUAACUUUAGUUAGUAUUUUUGAUUACUAAUUUUUAGCCUAUAUUAAUUAUACAACAUAAAUUUUUCCCAUGAAUUUGUGAUUGCUAGAACAUUUUAGCAAAAAAUUUUGUAUCUAAAUCAAAUAAGCAAAAUUGGAACAUUUCAAAAUAAAAAUCAGCAAACUGUCUUUAGUCCUUAAAAAUCAUAAAGCAAUUGUUAUACAUGAAACAGUUAUUUUUUAGCAUCCUAAUUCACUGUACAGAUCAAGUAAUUAGUGAGUUUCUUUCCCUUAACACUCUGUACUCAUAUCAAACAGCUAUAUGAUGUUUGUAAUCAUUUUCUCAUUUAAAAAAGAUCAUUUUUCCUUGCAUAUAAAAUUUUCCCCAAAAUGUGAAAUUAUCUUUUAUUUUAUCCUAUAAGAUCUGUUGUUCCAUUUUUAAGAAAUAAAAUGAUUUAGCUUUUCACAUUUUACUGAGAUUAGGGGACUAAUAUAGUUUGUAUGUGUAUUAACCAUUUAAUUUCCUCAUAACAAAUUAUCUCCAAACUUAGUGGCUUAAACCCAAAAAACAUUUUUAUCUCUCACAGUGUUUGUGGGUCAGGAAUCCAAUAGUGACUUAGCUAGAUGGUUCUGACUCAGCAUCAUCUCUCAUGAGGUUGCAGUCAAGGUGUCAGUAGGGUCAGCAGCAUUGGUGAGCUGGAGCUGCCUCACAUGUCUGGCAGAGAGGAUUCUUAAAUUUUCAGGAAUAUUACCAAAGAAAGUGAAAGAAAGAAAGUGAAGUCACUCAGUCAUUUCUGACUCUUUGCAACCCCAUGGACACCAGACUCCUCCGUCCAUGGGAUUUUCUAGGCAAGAGUAUCGGAGUGGGUUGCCAUUUCCUUCUCCAGGGAAUCUUCCCAACCCAGGGAUCAAACCCAGGUCUCCCACAUUGUAGACAGACGCUUUACCAUCUGCACCACCAGGGAACUCCUAAAAGUCGUGUCCAACUCUUUGCAACCCUAUGGGCUGUAUGGUCCAUGGAAUUCCCCAGGCCAGAAUACUGGAGUGGGUAGCCUUUCCCUUAGCCAGGGGAUCUUCCCAACCUGGAUUGAACCCAGGUCCCCCACAUUGCAGGCAGAUUCUUUACCAGCUGAGCCACAAGAAGCUAGCUGUUAAAUAAAGGCAUUAUUAAAAUGCAAUUAUAUAAACA